rnacentral:rRNA from 1 species
GAUGAAUGCUGGCGGCGUGCCUAAUACAUGCAAGUCGAGCGGACCAAAGAGAGCUUGCUCUCUGAGGUUAGCGGCGGACGGGUGAGUAACACGUGGGUAACCUGCCUGUAAGACGGGGAUAACUUCGGGAAACCGAAGCUAAUACCGGAUGAUAAAGAGAAACGCCUGUUUCUUUUUUGAAAGUCGGCCUUGUGCUGACGCUUACAGAUGGGCCCGCGGCGCAUUAGCUAGUUGGUGAGGUAACGGCUCACCAAGGCGACGAUGCGUAGCCGACAUGAGAGUGUGAUCCGCCACACUGGGACUGAGACACGGGCCAGACUCCUACGGGAGGCAGCAGUAGGGAAUCUUCGGCAAUGGACGCAAGUCUGACCGAGCAACGCCGCGUGAGCGAUGAAGGCCUUCGGGUCGUAAAGCUCUGUUGUCAGAGAAGAACAAGUACCGGAGUAACUGCCGGUACCUUGACGGUACCUGACCAGAAAGCCACGGCUAACUACGUGCCAGCCGCCGCAGUAA